GACGAACGCUGGCGGCGUGCCUAAUACAUGCAAGUAGAACGCUGAAGAGAGGAGCUUACUCUUCUUGGAUGAGUUGCGAACGGGUGAGUAACGCGUAGGUAACCUGCCUUGUAGCGGGGGAUAACUAUUGGAAACGAUAGCUAAUACCGCAUAACAAUGGAUGACACAUGUCAUUUAUUUGAAAGGGGCAAUUGCUCCACUACAAGAUGGACCUGCGUUGUAUUAGCUAGUAGGUGAGGUAAUGGCUCACCUAGGCGACGAUACAUAGCCGACCUGAGAGGGUGAUCGGCCACACUGGGACUGAGACACGGCCCAGACUCCUACGGGAGGCAGCAGUAGGGAAUCUUCGGCAAUGGGGGCAACCCUGACCGAGCAACGCCGCGUGAGUGAAGAAGGUUUUCGGAUCGUAAAGCUCGGUUGUAAGUCAAGAACGGGUGUGAGAGUGGAAAGUUCACAAUGUGACGGUAGCUUACCAGAAAGGGACGGCUAACUACGUG
rnacentral:rRNA from 1 species